UACGUAGGGUCCGAGCGUUAAUCGGAUUUACUGGGCGUAAAGGGCGCGUAGGCGGCCAGCGCAAGUCAGUUGUGAAAUCUCCGGGCUUAACUCGGAACGGCCAAGUGAAACUGUCAAGCUAGAGUGCAGAAGGGGCAAUCGGAAUUCUUGGUGUAGCGGUGAAAUGCGUAGAUAUCAAGAGGAACACCUGAGGUGAAGACGGGUUGCUGGGCUGACACUGACGCUGAGGCGCGAAAGCCAGGGGAGCAAACGGG
rnacentral:rRNA from 1 species